rnacentral:rRNA from 1 species
UACGGGGGGGAGCAAGCGUUGUUCGGAUUUACUGGGCGUAAAGGGCGCGUAGGCGGUCGUGACAAGUCACUUGUGAAAUCUCCGGGCUUAACCCGGAGCGGCCAAGUGAUACUGUCGUGCUAGAGUGCGGAAGGGGCUACUGGAAUUCUCGGUGUAGCGGUGAAAUGCGUAGAUAUCGAGAGGAACACCUGCGGCGAAGGCGGGUUGCUGGGCUGAUACUGACGCUGAGGCGCGAAAGCCAGGGGAGCGAACGGG